AAGGUGCUCAAUGUCAUCAGUCCUCAAAGACUCUACCCAUCUGAUGCAAAUAUUUCCUAAUUUGAAAUUCUAGCCCAGACGUUCCCCCUAAAAUGACCUCCAUAUUUCUACUCAUACGUCUAACAGACAUUUCAAAUCAAACACCCAAUCUUACCUCCACAAAUGUUCUCCUCUCUCGGUCUUCCUACGCCAGUAAAUGUUAUUCCAGUUAUUUGGCUCAAAAUCCCCUGGAGUUAUCUUUGAUGACUCCUCUUUCUCUUGCUACUUCACCCAGUAAAGCAGAUCCUAUCAGCCCCACCUUUAAAAUAUCUAUAAAGAAUCCAAUCCCUUCUCUUCUCCUGCUAUGGUACCAUCCUAUUCCUAGAUUUGGCCUGAGACAGACAUUCAGUGGCAGAGGGAGAGGAGAGGCUUGACUCAGAGCCAAAGUCACGUCUGAUAAAUGCAGUUGAGUUCCACGAGUCAGGACAAAAAGAAAAUGCAGCCCAGUUUAUCUGCCUGAGAUAUGAGUCUGGUGGGGUCAUACUGCUUGGUUGACCAUAAAUGACCCGUUGUCCUUACUCAGGGACCCAAGGUUCCUCGCCUCAUUACAGCUUUGUUGUCCGGCUCAGAUUUGUUCCCAGUUAGCUUAUCCAGCUGCCUGACACUCAGCCUCAGGAAGCCCAGCCAACUCAUCCUAUGGGAGUGACCAGAAGGCCUGAUAUUAAUACCAUCCUCUGUAGUCAUUUCUUGGAAGUGUCCUGCCCAGCACAAGCCUGCCACGGCUUCAGUGACCUUCUUUCUCCUCUGGGCACCUUUGUACGCUAUCUCCUCCAGGUCCUAGCCUAGAGUCCAGACUCUCUGUUUCCAUGAGGCCUCAUGGCCUCUGUGAUGUCAUGAAGCAAAUGUCAUCUGUCUCUGAAGAUGCUUUCUCCAAGGUUCCAUACUGGUUCAUCCACCACUCAGAAGAUCGAGGUAGCAUUUCCUCCACCCACAGGUACUGAGGUCUUGUUUGGUGGAAAUACCAACUCCUCUUCCACACUCUGCCCCACAAAUUCCAGUCACUUCAGUCUCCCCAAACUGUGCUGUUAGUGCCGACUUAGCAAACUGGUGCUCUGCCUCCCCGUUCCUUCUCUGCUGAGGUCUAGAAUAUGCCUUCAGACAGGAAGCCACCGCAACUGCAGAAUCUCAUUUAUUUCCCUUCUCUCCAGGAUCAAAGUCUUGCAAUACUAGUUGGCCAAUGUCUGAAAGGACUGGUUUCUUAAAGGUAUCUAGUUUUUUUGUUUCAAGUGGGAUGGCAAGUUUAGUACAGUUAUAUCAUUAUAGCUUGAAGCAGGAACCCUCCCUGAUGUUUUUUGAACAUAUCUCUACUUUUUGGCUCAAGAAUUUAAUAUUCAACUUGUCUGUUUCCAAAGGGAACUCUGGGCCUGGCUCCAGGACAAACUGUGCCACCUUGGACGGGAAUGGUUUCCUCAUUCAGAGACCAGGUGUAACAGGGCCUGACCUACAUCCAGGGCAUCAGAGCCCUGACCAUACGUGACCAUCUGCCUCAGGAUGUGGGACGACUAGCCUUCUCACUCUUUCACGCAGCGAAGGUGAACGACCUGUGGCUGGAGAACUUGGCCGAGAGAUAUCACCCCAUAACAGGAAACGCCUUGACAUCUCCUUAAACACAUUCCGCGCCGCCCCGCCUCCCCGAUUUUGCAUUCUCCUUCAGAAUCUACAUUUAUUUCAACAUAGAUAUAAUAUUUACAAUUAGUCACCAGAUACAUUCUUGGGAUUUUUACUCCCUACAAAUCUUCUGGUAAAAUAAACAGCUCUGUGGAAAUGCUCGUUUAAUAGAUGAGAACAUUCUUCACACAGUCGCACACAACCGUUGAACAGUCCCAGUCACACACUCAAGACCAAGACAACAGUAAACACGACAUACACCGUCACAAGAAUCACAGCACACAGGAUCACGGCCACUCACACAAUCAACCGCAAUCAGAGGACCGCACGUAGACAGCACAACCCACAAAAAGACCUUCACGCUACGUCCGGGUCCCGCCCACUCCUGAACAGCGCGACUUAUGACUCGGCCUUAUGACUCGGCUACGGCCGUUAAGCCUAGAAACUACGUUUCUCAGAAAAGACUGCAGCGCUGGCUCAAUCACGACGCAGCAUCGGCGCGGCUUUGUGCGUCUGCGCCAUCUUCUGGCUCCAGGCGGUAAGUCCGCCGAUACCGAGGAAGGAGCGCACCGGGGUCUGCGGGGGUCGCGGCCGCAGUGGCACCUGGAAGCGAAGAGCCAGCAGCUCUGCCACCUCAGGACUCCACCCUUACCCAAGAGAGGAGCCAGGAGAAGGACGGAUCAGCCCAUGAAAUUCUGAAAGUCAUGUCCCUCGUGAGUUAAAAUCAUGGAUCAGACUUGUUCAGGGACGUGGCUGUAGUCUUCUCCCAAGAAGAGUGGGAUCGGCUGGCACCUGCUCAGAGGGACCUGUACAGGGACGUCAUGUUGGAGACCUACAGCAACCUGGUCUCUCUGGGUGAGGUGGCCGGCUCUGUUAGUAUGGAGGUUACCUUUGGGCAUAUCUGUUCCUUCCCUGUCAAUUUCGGGGUACCCUUGAGUGGUUAAAGGGCAGGUCCAUUGGCUGAAGUUACAUCUUUCCCAGCUGUUAGGUGGCAGCCACAUCUUCCCCUGGCCCUUCGCACAGCUGACUCCUCUUCGAUGACCAGGCCCUGGAUCUGAAUUCUGGGGUCCACAGCAUAACUGGAUGGCAUAUUUCUUCUCGCAUCCAGAUCUUGCCAUUUGCAAACCCGAUGUGAUCGCCUUCCUGGAGCAAGGCAGAGAGCCCUGGGUGGUGGAGGAGGCAGCAUUCGGAGGCUUGUGCCCAGUCUUUCCUCAAAGCCUACAGGUCCCUGGAACAUAUUGGCCAUCCUGAACUGCAAAGAAGGCUGAAAAUGAGCAUCUGACAUCUUCUGAUUCCAAAGCAAGACAUGGAUGCUGCCCAAAGGAAAGGAACUGUAUAAGGCUGCUAGGUCUUCAUCCAAGAUGGAAGAAGUAAGCUGGGACCAGCUGAAGCCAGUGGGCUUUCCCCAUUGCUUCCAUUCAGGUGACUGCUUGCUAACAUGAAUUCUCUGAUGAGCAGCAAGGGAUACGUGCUGAUGGAAGGCUUGUCUACGUUUACUAUAUUCACCUGCAUUUCUCUAUUUGGCAUUCUCUGAUGUUGAAUAGCAGUUGAAUCCUGACUCAUCGUCCU